rnacentral:lncRNA from 10 species
AUGCUAUUCCCACUCAUAAGCAUGAGCAUUCUGUAAGUAUCACUGGAAGAGCUUCUGAUGUACAGAAACAAAAAAGCAUGAGAGCAGUGAAAAUUCUGGCUUUGGUGGAAGAUAAAGUAGGAAGAGUGUAGAAGAAAAGGAAUGAGAGAUAAACACUGAUUGAAGAUUUUGCUAAGAUAGGGAAAGUUUCUGUGAGUGACAAUAAAGGAGGUAUGCUUUAGAUUUCACAGUGUAAUUAGACAACUGGCUAAUGAUUUAAUAAUCUAUUUCUAUUGCUGCCAUUUUAUCUGAAGUUUGUAAUGGAAUGGAUCUAGCUCAGGAUUGCCAAAUCUACUUUGCAGUAAAGAAGAAAAUAGACUUUGAAACUAAAACCAAGACUCUUGAUUUGAGAGACAGAGGAACCUGUGAUAUUCUUUGCAAAAUUUGUCAACUGUACACCCUGUGAAAAGAGAGAAGAGAACCAAAAGACCUCUCGAGCAAAAGAUAUUGCCACAAAGUCCUCCAGAAACCAUACCACUUCUUGACAGGUACCCAAAUGAGUGAUUGGUUAGGGCUUAUGGUCUCUUGCUUUGCAGGAAAAUAAAACAAAGGUAAAGUGUGUACUAAAAAAUGAUACAACUACUGGACAAUACAUUCUUUGGAGGGAUAUAGUCUGUAUCUCAGUUAUUUUUGGUCUCCUAGAGCACAUUAUGUAGUACUUCUCACAAAAUACGUGCUCAAUAAAUAUGUUCUUUCUUGUUGAAUAGUAGUAAAAAAAAAUAACCAAACAGGUUGUGAUAUGAAGACUUGCUAUUAUGCAAUGGCAAUUAUUUUCCUUUCAUGUAUCUACUCCAAAACAAAGAUAAUACAAAUAAUGGGGGUAUGCAUAUGUAGAACUCACUUGCUUCUCUUUUCUCCCAUCACCUGCUAACCUCUACAACAAUAAAAGAUUUUUAAAAUGGG